rnacentral:rRNA from 1 species
AGCGAACGCUGGCGGCAGGCCUAAUACAUGCAAGUCGAACGCCCCUUCGGGGGAGUGGCGGACGGGUGAGUAACGCGUGGGAAUAUGCCCUAUGGUGCGGAACAACUGAGGGAAACUUCAGCUAAUACCGCAUGUGCCCUACGGGGGAAAGAUUUAUCGCCAUAGGAGUAGCCCGCGUUGGAUUAGCUAGUUGGUGGGGUAAUGGCUCACCAAGGCUACGAUCCAUAGCUGGUCUGAGAGGAUGAUCAGCCACACUGGGACUGAGACACGGCCCAGACUCCUACGGGAGGCAGCAGUAGGGAAUCUUGCGCAAUGGGCGAAAGCCUGACGCAGCCAUGCCGCGUGAAUGAUGAAGGUCUUAGGAUUGUAAAAUUCUUUCACCGGGGACGAUAAUGACGGUACCCGGAGAAGAAGCUCCGGCUAACUUCGUGCCAGCAGCCGCGGUAAGAC